UGCCAGCAGCCGCGGUAACACGGAGAGUGCAAGCGUUAUUCGGAAUUACUGGGCUUAAAGCGCGUGCAGGCGGGAUAUCAGGUGUUGUGUGAAAACCCUAGGCUCAACCUGGGAAUUGCAUGGCAAACCGGUAUUCUUGAGGCAGGUAGAGGCGACCGGAACGACUGGUGGAGCGGUGAAAUGCGUAGAUAUCAGUUGGAACGCCGGUGGCGAAAGCGGGUCGCUGGACCUGGCCUGACGCUGAGACGCUAAAGCGUGGGGAGCGAAGAGGAUUAGAUA
rnacentral:rRNA from 1 species